AGCCAUAUCACAUUGAAAUGCCAGUUCCCAUAUGAUCACUGAAGUUAAGCAGCAUCAGGCCUUGUCAAUACUUAGAUGGGCGACUGCUUAGGAGUAGCAAGUGCUGUAA